rnacentral:rRNA from 1 species
GUAGGUGGCAAGCGUUGUCCGGAAUUAUUGGGCGUAAAGCGCGCGCAGGCGGUUCUUUAAGUCUGAUGUGAAAGCCCACGGCUCAACCGUGGAGGGUCAUUGGAAACUGGAGAACUUGAGUACAGAAGAGGAAAGCGGAAUUCCACGUGUAGCGGUGAAAUGCGUAGAGAUGUGGAGGAACACCAGUGGCGAAGGCGGCUUUCUGGUCUGUAACUGACGCUGAGGCGCGAAAGCGUGGGGAGCAAACAGGAUUAGAUACCCUGGUAGUCCACGCCGUAAACGAUGAGUGCUAAGUGUUAGGGGGGUUUCCGCCCCCUUAGUGCUGCAGCUAACGCAUUAAGCACUCCGCCUGGGGAGUACGGCCGCAAAGGCUG